rnacentral:rRNA from 1 species
UACGUAGGGUCCGAGCGUUGUCCGGAAUUACUGGGCGUAAAGAGCUCGUAGGUGGUUUGUCGCGUUGUUCGUGAAAACUCACAGCUCAACUGUGGGCGUGCGGGCGAUACGGGCAGACUUGAGUACUGCAGGGGAGACUGGAAUUCCUGGUGUAGCGGUGGAAUGCGCAGAUAUCAGGAGGAACACCGGUGGCGAAGGCGGGUCUCUGGGCAGUAACUGACGCUGGAGGAGCGAA